rnacentral:rRNA from 1 species
UACGUAGGGGGCAAGCGUUGUCCGGAAUCAUUGGCGUAAGAAGCUUGUAGGCGGUUUGUCGCGUCUGCUGUGAAAAUCCGGGGCUCAACCCCGGACUUGCGGUGGGUACGGGCAGACUAGAGUGUGGUAGGGGAGACUGGAAUUCCUGGUGUAGCGGUGAAAUGCGCAGAUAUCGGGAGGAACACCCGUAGCGAAGGCGGCACUCUGGGCCGUGACUGACGCUGAGGAGCGAAAGCGUGGGAGCAACAGG